rnacentral:ncRNA from 1 species
CUCUUAUCUAGAGUGGUGGAGGGACUGGCCCGAUGAAACCCGGCAACCACCAGACAACAUUCGUCUGGAGAGGUGCCAAUUCCUGCAGGUUCGACAACAUUCAGCGCAUGCUUUUUGCACGACGCUUGAACAAUCGAACUUGAGAGAUGAGGG